UGAGAGGCCCAGGCGGCCGCUCUCCAGGACCGCGAGGCACAGGCAACUGGGCCGAGCGAGCUGGGAGGGAGGAAAGUCCGGGCUCCUCGGGUCAGUGUGGUUGCUAACGGCAACCGGCCGUGAGGCCAGGGAAAGUGCAACAGAGAGUAGACCGCCAACCCCGCGCUUCGGUGCGGGCGGCAAGGCUGAAAGGGUGCGGUAAGAGCGCACCGCAGUUCCUGGUGACAGGACUGGCAAGGUAAACCCCACGCGGAGAAAGACCAAAUAGGGAAGGUCAACGGGCGAUGACCCGCGCUCACACCUUCCGGGUAGGUCGUUCGAGGCCGGAGGCAACUCCGGUCCCAGAGAAAUGGUCGUCGCCUCCCCUCACGGGGAGGAACAGAACCCGGCUUAUCGGACCUCUCACUUC
rnacentral:RNase_P_RNA from 1 species